ACUUCCGGCAGACGCGCGUCAAGCGUGCUGUCUGUAGCUAUGGUGACGAAAGCACGUAUCGGAAUGUUUGGGAAAGAAACUUGCUAAAGCUGAAAAUGCUUUAAGACAUGCAGUUUGUCGGACGGUUUUAGCCACGUAUUUUUGCAUUGACUGUGUUUAUCUUAUUCGAAGACGCCAUUUGUAUGCACCAACAAAGAAGCAGUAGAGUUCGUUUUCAUUUAGUGCCAAUUUCCCGUACUAAUUCCCUGAAAAAUCAACAUAGGUCGCUGACGACCAAACAAAAAAUAUUCGCUGGCCUCACGAGAUUGGAUUUCUAACCUUUCCAAUUGGGUAUUUGUGAUUUUAGUGAAAAUUAUUAUUUCGACAAAAUGUCAAGGUAGAAAGCCUCAGAAAAAGUAAAAACGUGGAUGACGAAGGUCGAGUUCUUCAGUGCUGAAGAAGGCCGCACAGAAUGAAGAGGAGGCAGAAAGUGACGCAGCAGAAGCAUAGGCAUCGAAAUCAGCAUAGAUAGUGCAAGGACCUGUGCAGGCUGCACAAAUAGCGGUACAAUAACAAGAAGCUUCUGCACAAGGAGAAGAACCUGCUUACAGAGGCAAGAGUGGACUUGUGGGGUCAUCUGCUGAGCCCCUACCCCCAACACGGUCAGGUCUUUCAACAUAAUGCAUACAAAAGAGGACCUGAGAAGAGGUGCCAGACUUAUGCAAAGUGAAUUGGAUGCAUUGCCGUGCCUUAUAAAUGGGCCCUUGAAAAGUACAGUUAUUGAUAAUAUGAACAAAUAUGCCAAAGGAAGAGAUCCGAAUGCAUGGACACUGAAUGAUGAGGAUUAGAUGAAAGUAGUAUUGGGUGUCAUUGUUUCUGCUUGGAGUGUAUUGUUGCAGAAACGAGUCUGUGAGGUCUCUUUGGUCCUGUGGUCCUGGUGGUAGAUCAGUAUUCAGCUGCCUUUUGGAAUAAAUACAUUCAAACAAAUACUGGCAUUUUUGUGUUGAGACAAUCGCAACACACGUCAGGCCAGAAAAGCCAGUGAUAAGAUUUGUAGCACUUCAGUCACUUCGGUUUUGGAAUGCUUUUAUUGAAAGCUGCAAAAAGAACUACUUGGUCUGAGCAUAUGUGACAAUUGAUGAACAGUUCAUUCCUUUUAGAGGACACCGUGGCCUUUAUCAGUAUUUGCCCAUUAAACUGGGCAUAUAUGGGAUGGAAUUAUUCCUUCUGUGUAAUGUUUGUAGCUGGCUACAUAAUUAAUGGACUCCCUUCAGGCUGUGAAGGCACUCAACCAUCCACUGCCGUGGCAGAAACAGUACUGAAAACACUGGUGGAUCCUGUACAUUAAUCUGCCAUAAAUGUGACAGACAACUGGUUCACAGUUGCGAAUCUUACAGGAAGAUUUGCUACACAAACAAAUAACACUAUUGGGAACAUUGGGCAGAAACAAACCAGAGGUUCAGGGGUUUUUGCCCAGUGGAAUGAGAGCUACAGGCUUUAGCAUGUUUGGCUUUUGCUCAGGAUUUGUUCAAUGUUGCUUUAUUUCUUUAUUUGCAUUAUAUAUACACAAACACACAAAUAUCUUUUCAUAUACUAGUAAGUUUAUUAGACAUAUUUAAUGCUUUUUAAUGCUCAUUUUUGAAACAAAAAUGUUUAAAAUGGUUGAAUAUUUUUCAGUGUUCAUUGAAGAAAUAAUCAGUAAAAAAUGUUUGAGAA